CAGCGGGCAGCAUGACAGCAGGCAGAGGGCAGAGGGCAGCGGGCAGCAUGACAGCAGGCAGCAGGCAAGGUGGCAGGAAGCUGCGAACUCACAUCUUGAACCACAGAAUGCUAGGUGUUAUAGAGGCUGAACAUACCUGCCCAGUGUACUGAUUCAUUUUUGUGUGUCGACUUGACACAAGCUGGAGUUAUCACAGAGAAAGGAGCCUCCCUUGAGGAAAUGCCUCCAUGAGAUCCAGCUGUAAGGUAUUUUCUCAAUUAGUGAUCAAGGGUGGGAGGUCCACUUGUGGGUGGUGCCAUCCCUGGGCUGGUAGUCCUGGGUUCUAUAAGAAAGCAAGCUGAGCAAGCC
rnacentral:lncRNA from 1 species